CGAAAAUCUUCCAUUCGCUCCGUUUUUUUUUAAUGGCGACAAAUUCGGCAUUCAGAUACUGCCUGACCUGCUGAGCUCCUCCAGCAGUUUGCAUGUGUUGCUCUGGAUUUCCAGCUUCUGCAGAAUCUCUGGUGUUUAUGACAUGAGCUGGGGAAAUGGCAUUAAACAAUCUUCAGACUGUAUGCGGAGAGACAGAAGAGGCUGGAAUCUGAAGCAACACGACAAGAUGCUGGAGGAACUCUGCAGGUCGAGCAGCCCCCUGUGGAGAGAAAUGGACAGUCAAUGUUUUGGGGCAAGAUCUUUCACCUGGACUGGAAGGUAGAGGAGAGAGAGGUGGGUGGAAGGGGAAAUGGUACCGCAGCAUAAAAGCCAGGACCAACAGGCUCUGGGCCAGCUUCCUCCACCAGGCCAUCAGACUGAUUAAUUCACACUGAUACAACUGUAUUUCUAUGUUACAUUGACUGUCCUCUUGUGUAUACUAUUUAUUACAAAUUACCAUAAACUGCACAUUGCACAUUUGAAUGGAGAUGUAAGAUAAAGAUUCUUACUCAUGUAUAUGAAAGUAAUAAACUCAAUUCAAUUCUG